rnacentral:rRNA from 1 species
CCUACGGGAGGCAGCAGUGGGGAAUAUUGCGCAAUGGGCGAAAGCCUGACGCAGCGACGCCGCGUGAGGGAUGAAGGUCUUCGGAUCGUAAACCUCUGUCAGCAGGGAGGAACGGUCUCUGGGCUAAUCAGUAGUGAAUUGACGGUACCUGCAAAGGAAGCACCGGCUAACUCCGUGCCAGCAGCCGCGGUCAUACGGAGGGUGCGAGCGUUAAUCGGAAUUACUGGGCGUAAAGCGCACGUAGGCGGUAUGUCAAGUCAAGUGUGAAAUCCCCGGGCUCAACGUGGGAACUGCAUUUGAAACUGGCAAGCUGGAGUGUGUGAGAGGAUAGUGGAAUUCCAGGUGUAGGAGUGAAAUGCGUAGAUAUCUGGAGGAACAUCAGUGGCGAAGGCGACUAUCUGGCACAUAACUGACGCUGAGGUGCGAAAGCGUGGGUAGCAAACAGGAUUAGAUACCCGAGUAGUC